UACGGGGGGGGCAAGCGUUGUUCGGAAUUACUGGGCGUAAAGGGCUCGUAGGUGGCCAACUAAGUCAGACGUGAAAUCCCUCAGCUUAACUGGGGAACUGCGUCUGAUACUGGAUGGCUUGAGUUUGGGAGAGGGAUGCGGAAUUCCAGGUGUAGCGGUGAAAUUCGUAGAUAUUGGGAAGAACACCGGUGGCGAAGGCGGCGACCUGGUCCUUGACUGACGCUGAGGCGCGAAAGCGUGGGGAGCAAACAGG
rnacentral:rRNA from 1 species